rnacentral:tRNA from 1 species
GGCGGGGUGCCGGAGCGGUCGAACGGGUCGGUCUUGAAAACCGAUGACCGUCGCAAGGCGGUCCGUGGGUUCAAAUCCCACCCCCGCCG